rnacentral:rRNA from 1 species
ACGAACGCUGGCGGCGUGCCUAACCCCUGCAAGUCGAGCGAAUGAAGUUCCUUCGGGAAUGGAUUUAGCGGCGGACGGGUGAGUAACACGUGGGCAACCUGCCUCAUAGAGGGGAAUAGCCUUCCGAAAGGGAGAUUAAUACCGCAUAAGAUUGUAGUAUCGCAUGAUACAGCAAUUAAAGGAGCAAUCCGCUAUGAGAUGGGCCCGCGGCGCAUUAGCUAGUUGGUGAGGUAACGGCUCACCAAGGCGACGAUGCGUAGCCGACCUGAGAGGGUGAUCGGCCACAUUGGGACUGAGACACGGCCCAGACUCCUACGGGAGGCAGCAGUGGGGAAUAUUGCACAAUGGGGGAAACCCUGAUGCAGCAACGCCGCGUGAGUGAUGACGGCCUUCGGGUUGUAAAGCUCUGUCUUCAGGGACGAUAAUGACGGUACCUGAGGAGGAAGCCACGGCUAACUACGUG